rnacentral:rRNA from 1 species
GAUGAACGCUGGCGGCGUGCCUAAUACAUGCAAGUCGAGCGAACGGACGAGAAGCUUGCUUCUCUGAUGUUAGCGGCGGACGGGGGAGUAACACGUGGAUAACCUACCUAUAAGACUGGGAUAACUUCGGGAAACCGGAGCUAAUACCGGAUGAUAUUUUGAACCGCAUGGUUCAAAAGUGAAAGACGGUCUUGCUGUCACUUAUAGAUGGAUCCGCGCUGCAUUAGCUAGUUGGUAAGGUAACGGCUUACCAAGGCAACGAUGCAUAGCCGACCUGAGAGGGUGAUCGGCCAUACUGGAACUGAGACACGGUCCAGACUCCUACGGGAGGCAGCAGUAGGGAAUCUUCCGCAAUGGGCGAAAGCCUGACGGAGCAACGCCGCGUGAGUGAUGAAGGUCUUCGGAUCGUAAAACUCUGUUAUUAGGGAAGAACAUAUGUGUAAGUAACUGUGCACAUCUUGACGGUACCUAAUCAGAAAGCCACGGCUAACUACGUG